AAACCUUUUUUUCACUGAUAUUUUAUUAGAUAGAUUUAAACAUACACAUAAACCGUAAAGACAGGUUUACAACCCCACAACUAAAAAACUAGACAACGAUGCCCACUAAUGGCACAAACUACCACCCGAGACCAAAAGAAAAAAAUUAAAAGUCACCGACACGUGUUAAAUCAAGCCAAGGGAGAGAGACACGGGCUAUACGCGUCACCACCAUCUUCACCGUUUGACCACCGUCGCCGAAUCGACCAAAUCGAACCACCGCCGGAAUCCACCGGGAAACAGAACCACAACCCACGAUUCCACUCCAACAAGUUUCACUUCCUCAAGUUUCUCUUUUUUCCCUCUCAAAAUGCUUCUAUUUAUGGAAUCACAUGUUAUGCACUAUUUUAAUAUCAAAAUGUUUAUAUAUAUGGUGGCCAAAGAAAAAGAGUCCGUGUAUAUGCUUUGCAAAUCAAACGACACUAAUAGUCAAAACCUUUCUCUCUGGCGAUAGAACAUCGACCGCUGCUGAUUGAAGAAGACGACAGGUGGUCUCCGCCGGCCGGCGCGUGGUGGUUUGGUUAGCGCCACCGUCGGUCCGGUAAGUUUAGUUUGCUUAGUAUUUUGUAGAUCUGGUGUUUAAUCCGUCUUAACUGCGGCUCGGGGUAAAGUAGAAGGGAACGACUCGGACACCUCUUGCUUUGUCGGGGUCUUGUGCGGAUCCUUACGGUGGUAGGUGGUUGCAGCCCGUGUGGUUGGUGACAGCGGAGGUCUCUGCUGGUUCGUGGUUCAGAUCCUUUUUGCUUAAUUCGGGUUGGAGAUUCAUAAGGCCUGGGCUUUGUAGUGGUCUUUGCAGUGGUUUUAGGAUGGUGGUGUGGGUCCGACACUGGUGAAGAGAUACAAUUUCUGAUUGCUUGAAGAAUCUCUUGUUUGCGGUUCUUCGGUUAGGGUUUUGCUUUGUUAGUUCUUAUGGGGUUUGGGAUGUGGCUUGACCAGUGGUGGCUCUAGUCUUCGGUGGAGGUAGAAACAUCUUAUGGUUCUCAGAGGAGGUGCGUGUUUGGCUUGGAAGGAGAUAGAUGUAUAUCGGAGCGAUUGCUUCAUUGUGGGUCGAUUGUCGCCGUCUUGAUCGUGAUUGUCAUGGAUUUGGAGUGGUUAUUAUCCAGUUACCGGCUGCGUGAAUAAGACGUUUCCGGGAAACCUUUAUAGGCUUUGCCGUGGGGUGAUGGUGCGUAUGAGGCGCGGGGAGAGCACACUCAAGGUCCAAUGGAGAGACUUAGUUGGGAUUGAAGGGUGUUUACAGCGACGGUUAAGGAUUCUAACCUCUCUCGAUUCAGUUUAUAUGUUUGGUGAUGUUCGUGUGCGUCUAGUCUAUCUCGCUGCUCUGCUAAUUUUGUGUUAAUUGUUGAUGAGUUCUAUUUCGGUAAGCUCGUCUUUGAGCGCAAGGUGGAGCUCUCCUCUACUGAAGUUCUGUUUUACUCUACUGCCUCUUGACAUUUUUUUUUCUUCGUGUCUUUGUUAGUUUUUAUGGGUUUGUGUUGUAUCCAUCUUUUGGCUCCGAGUGGUACAUGUUACCUCGCCGGCUUAUGGCUCUGGAAGGAAUGUAUUCCUUGCCGGCUCUGGUUUGUAAGAAAUGAUGUUUUUGUGUUUAAUAUAAUCUACGGAUGAAAAAAAAAUAUAUAUAUGCAAAAAUAUAUGCUUUGCAAUAUUAUAUAUACAUUUGUGUCAGUGCCCUCAUGUGCACAUGUAUGCUUCAACUUUACACCACAA
rnacentral:lncRNA from 1 species